rnacentral:lncRNA from 1 species
CAAAGGUGCGGCAGCUGGAGGCUUGUGCUCCUGGAGGGAAAUCUGAGCAGGGCUCUCUUCCACAGCUGCCAUACCUCCUUUACCUGGAACCUGGAGAUGCUCCUUGCAAUGAAUGAUCCAGAGCAGCUUAUAGUCAAAGGGAAGGCUGACUCUGGAACUCAAGCCUUCUCACUCAAAGGCCAGUAGUCUUUGUUUCUGGUGAGGGCCAGAUGAAUGAAGCAUAAAUAGUUUGUCCUGUUUUAUCAGUAGCUGUCACAAGGCAUCAUUUCUUUGGCAGCAGAUCUUAGCACAGUUUAUAUGUUUAAUAUUUAACAUAUAUCAGUAACCUAUGACUCAAGCUGAUCACAGACUCAAAUAUAAUGUACCUUGUGGAUGAGCAAGAAGUAAAAAUAGUGUAAGCAUUUCAUCUUGGCCGGGAAAUAGAUAUGAAUGUUCAUGGAAGAAUGAACAAAGGAAGAGGCUUGCAGGUUGGGUCAAUUAAUUCUCUCUCUGGAAUUUUGAACUGAGAUUCACAGAGAAGCUGUUGUGAAGGAGCCAUGGAUAGCUGGAGGGUCUUCCUAGUUAAAGCCUGGACUGAAAACAAGUAAGAAGCACUUUUUGGGUUCGUUCAGUUUUGAGGUAACAAUAAACUCAUCUUCAGACUGCCUGUGACCUUUUCAUAAUGACACCAGAAAUAUGAAUAGGACAUAUUUUAAAACUAGCUUAUCUAGAAAACCUCUUGCCCAUUCCCAUUCCCAUUUCCUAACACAACUUUUUUUCCAGAUCUUGCACAAACAGGAAAUCAGAGUAAAGCCAUCAUUAGAGACA